rnacentral:tRNA from 2 species
GCCCAGGUGGCGGAAUUGGUAGACGCGUUGGUCUCAAACACCAAUGCCUUCGGGCGUGCCGGUUCGACUCCGGCCCUGGGUACCA